CUUCCUCUUCCUCUUCCUCUUCCUCUUCCCCUUCCUCUCCAGUAGCCUCGUCAUCUUCAUCAUUCACUUCAGACUUUGACCUGUCUGACUCUGCAUUAGCGUCAUCAGCUGUGCUCUCCUGCUUCUUGUUGUAGGCAUUCAUAAGCUUUCCAUACUCAUCCUUUUUUUUGGCAGCUUUGGCUUCAUACGGAGCUUUUUCAGCNGCAGAAGACAUCGAUUUCCACUUCUCUCCUCCAGCUUUCCCAACAGCAGCUACAGAUGUCACAUUAGGAUUCUCUUUCUUGAAAGUCUUUCGAAACUCCUCAAGGAAGACAAAGAAAGCACUAGGAGGCCUCUUUGGUUUGUUUGGGUCUUUCUUUGCCUUUUUCUCCUUCUUAGCUUUUUGUUUGCUAAUUUUAUCAGGAACAGCUGCUGCCUUCCUCUUUCCAACCUUUCUGUCAUCAGCAGGCUUCAAGGCUUCCUUUGUGACCUUUGCUGCCCCUUUACCCUUGGUAGUCUUCAUUGUUGCUAGAGUGUAUCUUACAGAGCGAAACGGCGAUGCCUUUAUCAGAAACAGAGGGUUGAACACAAAC
rnacentral:misc_RNA from 1 species